CCGACGAUCACCGCACCGUACCACACCGCCACACCACCGCUGGUGAAUUCCAACCAUCGCACCGACGAUCACCUCCACUGAUAACGGAGUUGGUUAUGUUAGAAUUUUCCGUUACGGAGUUGUUUAAGUGGACUCCUUCGCGGUGGUCGUGCUAGCUCUUCAUCCCCCCAUUUCUCCAUCUCUCUCUCUUUCCAGGGUUUCAAGUGAUCUUAAUUCCCAGAGAUGUUUUGCUAAUUUUCAUGCCAUUUCUUGCUUUUGAUCAUUAUCAAUUAGAGCUUUGCUAAUUUUAGAUUCGAUCAAACCCUUCCAUUCAUGACCUUCAUCGGAGCUCAAGAGCCCACUGGUCGUUCUUGUAAUUCCUUUUGCGUUUGGUGGGGAAUUGGGAGCAAUGUGAAUGUUCGUGUCUUAGCAAAUCCAGUAUUAAGUGCACGAGAUGGGGAUAUUGGGCCAUGCUCUGGCUGCUUUUUUGAGUAGGUUCUAUAUGGCAAUCGAAGUUGCAUCCAGAAGUAGAGAACAUGUUGGCCUGCAUAAAUGCAUCCUUUAUUUGUUUGCCUUCUCAAUGUCUAGUUCAAAGUAUGAUUUUUCCUGUUUUUUUCUGCCGAGUUUUGACAUCCAUUGAGCAUUCUAAUUAGAUACUUCUGUCUACUUUGUUUCUACCAACCCAGAAUCAUCCUUUAAUCCACUCUCAAAGGAUGUCAAAUAAAGAAUUUAUUAAUGGUUUAUAUUGGUAUUUGUUUCUUAUUUAAAGAAUAAGAUAUCCUUAAAGCUAUACAGCUUGUAUUUUACUUGUGUUAUUUUGAAUGUCUUCUGCAUGAGGAGAGAAUCAGUAUCAUGAUUUUAGGCAAAGUGUGAAUUGCAAGAUUAACUAAACUAUAACACAAGCUUGAAAUGGAAUUAUUAGAGUUGGUACUCUAGGAGAGCAAAUCAAGCUAUUUGGACGGUAAUUCAGUAACUAGGCACUUCUAAUAAUUAUUAAGAAAAUUGAGUGAGAAGGUAGCUUGUAACUUAUGGAUUGAAAAUAGUUGUUUCAUUACUUUUGCUGGCAUUGCUUUUAUAGCAUGCUAAGUUGUAAUUAAUUAGUUUUUGUUUG